UCAGCCCUGAGAGCUGCUGCAGGGGGGUCCUCGGGACCCUGGCAGGACCUGGUAUAAGGGACCCCACCUUAGGGUCGCCAGAGUCCACCUAGUAUCGGACUGCUCUUAAAAGCCCAUCCCGGCGCAAGGCAACACCCAGCAGAGAGCAGCCCCUCUCGUCGGUCAGGCGCUGAGCGUUCAGGCAGAGAAGCAAGGAUCCGACGUUUCCAACGAUCCUCUGUGUGGUGCAAGUGAAAGAUGAGGAGUUAAUGAGUAACAUUGGCUUAUUAAUAAGUGCUGGGAUGUCUGGAGAACUUUAAACCCCAAAUAGCUGUCAAAACAUUAACUCUGAAGCACAGCCUCAGGGCGAGAUCAUCCUGUCUGAUAUCCAUUCCUGUGUCCUCCACGUCUUGAGAGUGGAAAUGAUAAAGAUUUCCCUUUUCAGUGAUAAAUAGCCCUUAUUUAAUCACUUUGUAAUGGUGCUUUUCACCAC